CACCGCGCUCGACCCGCAGAACAUCCAAACGGUCAAACCCUAGCCGCCAACCCUUCUGGUCCCGAGCCCGCGCCUCCUGAGCCUCCACUCUCGCUCUCUCUCCUCUCCCACUCCGUCGCCUUCCCUCUCCCCGCUCGUCGCCUCCAUCCUCCCGUCGACGCCCUUUCCUCCCGCUUCCCCACCGUUGCCCUGACGCCUCCACCAGCUACCAGCUUCCACAGAUCCAGUCCGAGGCAGGGAAGGACCUCAUCGUCGCUCCGUUGCUUAGGCCCCAUGGCGGCGCUCGGGUCGGGCCGGGGUUGUGCAGAAGGUCGCCGCCUGCGGGCGAAAGCAGUGGAGUUGCCGUGGAGGGAGGCUCGCCGGCCUGAGCAGUAGGAACAACGAGGUCGUGCAGCGGUGAAUGGGGGCGAGGUCGACCGUGGAUGGAGGCUCGCCGGCCGGAGUAGCAGGACCAGCGAGGUCGAGAUAGUUCAGGUUUGCCUCUAAUCUUCUCCCCCUAUCCCUUUACCCUCUCUCUUAUUUCCACCUUUGUCUUGUGGAUGAGGGCAUCCGUGCACUACGAGGAGUGGAUCACUCCGCCCUCAGCUUUGCUGUCCCAAACGCAGCAGAGCUCAAGUUCUAGGAUAAGGACAAAAUCAGGCAGUCGAUUAAGGUGAGGUUUCCCAUGGAUUAUAUAGAUUUCUCUAUUGGUCUAUUUUACUAGGAUUUUUGAGUGAUAGUGCCUGUAAUGGAAGUUUUAGAAACAAAAUCAUGCUUGGACUAAGUACCUCGGCACAUAUUAGCGAGUCUAUUUGGUUGGCUCAGUAUUGAUGAAGAACACUUUUCCAUGGCUCGUGAACAUGUUGGUCCUCCUAUUUUGAUUUGUCCAGGUUUUUGAAAGAAAAGAAAAGGAAAUAACAUACACACUCUGAAUUGUGCAGGUUUUCAAAAGAAAAGAAAGGAAAUAAGAUGUAGUAAAUUUUGGUGAAGAACAAUUUUCCAUGGCUCGUGAACAUGUUGGUCCUCCUAUUUUGUUUUUUCAUGAUUUGUGGUCCAUGCAUGCUUUUGAUAUUCAAUCACUUUAUUUGUUCACAUCCUACUAGAUGUUGAGCAGUCUACAAUCAAAGCACCACUCGAGUUUCAUAAAUAGUACAAAGAUGAGGCUGGAGGAUGGAUCUGAAGCAUAGUUUUAAAUAGCCGGCUAUAGCCCCGCUAUAGCCUUGCUAUAGCCUUUUCAGCAGGGUGCCACUAAAUGGUUUCAUGUACAAAUAGUCCGCUAUAGCCUGCUAUAGCCCGCUAUAGCUGAUUUUGAGGUCCGCUGCUAUUUGGCAUAGCCCGCUAUUUAAAAUAUUGAUCUGAAGUGUGAAGGCAUGUCACUUCCGUGAGUUCUCUAUCUUUACUCCCACAUGACGGUUCUUUUAAUUGUCAUUCUAAUUUCAAAAUUAGUGUUCUAUCUACCACUGGGACCUUGCCUUAUUUUUAAUGUUUACUUAACACAUUAAAAUUCCUGCAUGUUAGUAUUUGAGAUAUUCCAUGGGUGCUGGGUGCUACUGCUUCUGAUUACAUGCGAUUCCAUUUGGUUUCACUUUGAUUAUGUUUUUGUACAGAUCUUUUGCAGGUUGGGCUGUUGGUGAAUCUUGAUGCUAUGUUUAUAGUCUGCUUUUAAACCCCACCCUGUACUACACACCAGAUAUGGAGCCAUUGUUUAUAUUUGGUCUCAUUUUAUUUCAAUUACGACUAGAUAUCAAGUUUAUAGCAUGUGAACUCUAAAGCCUCAAGACUCAAGUGGCUCUAAUGCUUACCCAACAUUCAGAAUAGAGAGAUCAACCCUGAAGCAUCAGUGCAUUGAAAACUGGUGGAUGGGAGAUUACAGUAUAUUAUACUACAGAAAACUGGUGGAUGGGAGAUCACAGUCAAGCUACUCACAUAUGACUCCUAUCAGUGCAUCCGAGAAUUCUCAAAUGAAGUUUGCUUCUGUUUUGGCCUGACUUACAUUUCUACUGUAAGUGUAGCUCUAUGGCAGUACAUACUUUUUUCACUUUUGAAGAGAAAAACUCAGUAUGUUUACUUGUUUCUUCUCUUAGUAUGGCUUGGUAAAUCGAGGACCUGUUGUGGUCUUGUGGAACAAGAACCUAAUAUUGUUGUUUUUAUGUUGGAACAAAUGUUUUCUCGCUGACUUUAACAUGAUUUAGCUUUGCUUGCAAGAGACUUUAAAAUGAUUAGAUAGUUAUCGUCUUGUCGCUUUUGAUUAUAUUUGUUCUGGUAACGGUUGAAUUUACAUAUUCGCACCACUUUGUUGUACUUAAAAAAGUUCAGCCCUCAGACUGGAAGAACUACAUCCUAUUAAUACAUUCAUACGUUUUCUGCUAUUUAAUCAUGUUAUUGACAUACUGGAUUUAACACUGAUGCUAAUACUCACAAGGUCAUAUUUAUUACCAAUAUACAGAUCUGGCUUGUCAUUUUGAAGUAUGUAAGUAGGAUUGUAUAAAUGCACACAUCAACAUCUCUAUCAAUCAGGUUCGCUAACUGUUAGUUUCGUGUUUAUCCAUUUUUCUUUGGGUCGCAGCACAGUAUCAUCCGGUUGGUUGUUUUUGUCGCCCAUUCUGUAAAUUCAUCUUAGCAAUAAAGCAUUGACAAGUGUGUUCAUUGCUCUCCUUGUCAAACAAAAUAUCAACAUCUGGUUCUUUAAUCUGCUUUUAAUCCUUAUCGGUCUACUACAAUGGAACCGAUUCCUCACCCAAUCUGAACUGUAUGUCCAACAACUCCUUUAUUGUUUUGCCUCUUCUCUUUUAUUCUCCAUAAAUUUACAGCUUCCGUGUUUAGAUGUUUCCAUGCAUAUUUUCUAAAAUUUGUUUUAUCGCUCGAAUCAAAUUUACUUAUACUGUGCUCAACUUUAGCUCAUGAACUGCAUGGCAAAAGCUAAUUCUGAUUGGUCUUCUGCCACUUUUUGUUUUAUGGCUUUCUACGCAACUGAAGGCAUGCUUCUAGAUUAUGAGAGUAUGUAGAUAGCAUGUAUGGUUUUUCAUUGUCUUGCACAGGUAGAGAUGCAUCACACGAUCCUUUGACAUUAUGGGUAUUGCAGAGUCCUUUCUUACAAAGGCAGGAGCUGUACCAUUCGACUUAAAGGGCGAAGAGUUCAUGCAAGGGGAUGGUCUCUAGGAUAUAUACACAAAAGAUGAAAUUUCCUUUUGUAUAGAACCAAAUUAUAUCAUGUAAUUGACCAUUAUUUCUAAGUGCUUCUCCUAUACAAAAUGUUCAUCAUGUAUUAAGUACCCCCUUCAUCCCACAAUUAAAACCAUUUUGCAAGUUAACAUAGCUUUCAAAAAUGUCUUAUAUUAUGGGACGGAGGGAGUACAUUUUAUUGUGUCACGUAUGUUUACCUCUCUUUUUAAAUUCAAGUUUACAACUAUUCA